AAUUAUCUGAAAAUAAAUAAUGCCUUGAGUGUCUGGAUUCUUUUAUUGAUAGAGAGGUACUUAUUUCCUUUACAAAAAGGCCCAUAUUAUUUUAGCUUUGUUUUUACAGCUGUAGUUAUUGUGCAGAUAGAGGUCAAGGAGGUUCUUUGGGAACUGAAGUAUCAUUAUAAAAUUAUAACCAAGUCAUGAAUAAUAGCUUUAGUUUGAGAGUUUCUGACAUUUAUUUCAUUGUUGCAGCCAUAGUAAAAUGCUACAACUUAUAUACCAUUCUCACUGAACAUGGAAUAUGUUUUCAAAAUGGAGUACUUAAUGGUUUGGAAGUAAAAGGGAUAGUUGACACAUAGUAGUUCUGUCCUAAUUUCUACCUACUUAAAACUGGUCACAGACCAAAGGAUUAAUUCCACAAGAGGAAGUUAGGAUUACAAAGAGACAGGCAAGAUAUUCACACUCCCUAAAAUUUGGUGAUAAUCGAGGUCCAUCAACUAUACUAUAUAUCUAAGAGUACCUAGUAACCCAGUGAAAAUGACAGUUCCUUUGGUGACCCCGUAUCAAUAAGCCAUAUGUUGCUUCAAAUCAUACAGAGUGCUUUGAACCUAGAUGUAUUCCUUCUUGUGUGACUUUUUAAGCCAGCAGAAGACUUGUAGAGACCGCUCCACGUGAGACUACACUCCUCAUCGUGUUUUCGUUCGAGCUGACCAUGUGGCCAUUACAAGGAACUACAUCUUUUGGAGCACACUCCAAAAAAAACAUUAGAGGUAGUUAAACAAUUCCAUCUAUGUAUGAAGUAUAGACAAAAUGGUAUCAACUCUUGAUUUGUGAGCACAUUCUAGGUGGAGAUAUUUGGCUACAGCACAAAGUUAGCUUCCUAGAAAAGACUUAGCAGAAGGAUUAGAAUGUCUCUUCAGCAAGUUCACUGAUGAUUUGAAACUGGGAGCUUAACUGUGUGAGGGUUUUUGUGUUAGAAAGCAAAACUGGAGAAAAAGAAAGAUCCAAGAAUACAGGAAUUUGUUCAGAGAUGCUCAUUGUGGUACACAAAUGAUGCAUUUCCAAUUUCUUUCCUGAAUGUUUCUUCUCAAAAUAUUAUACCCAAAGGAGAAAAGAUCUUUUGCAAUUCUUAAAUUAUAGAUUAGUAUUGGAGUCAUUAGAAUUGACUUAGACUCUACUUAUAUUAGAAAUAAAAUGUUUGGAAAAUAAUUGAAAAGAAAAAUUUACUUUUUAAGUUUGUACUGAAAACUAUAACCCCUUAAAGGUUCUUACUCCCUUCCCAGAUACAUACAUUGUUGCUUUUAGUUACUAAAAUCUGUCAGCGUAGGUGCCUCUACCCAUUCAGAACGGCAUAAUCUAAUUUUCAGUCAUAGUUCAACUUCAUUUGAAGAAACAAUAUGACAGCAAUGUGCCACUGCCUCAGGGUGGGGACAGCAGAUCUUACUGAAGCUGGAGAUUCAUGGGAUAAGUACAGACAACCUUCUUGGCAAUUUAUGAACACUGCUCAUAACUUUACUACGUCUUGAGACACAGUUCAGGGCCAGUAGUUUUCUUUGUUUUGUUGAUGGAUAUUGGCUCAUCCCAAAUUAAAUAAAAGUUACUGCUCUUGUCUGGAGGAUAAAAGAAAGCAUUUAAAGCUUGCAGUAGUUUAUUCAAAUGAUAAAAUCUUGAAGAUCUUUAAACAGUGUGUCCAGCAGUGCCUCUAGGCUAUCUACAUGCUAAAACAGACGAAAGGAGAAAAUUGGUACCUGGAGAGAGGCAGAAAAAUUCUUUGUAGCCUUCUUGCCUAUAUUGCAUUUAUAUGUGCACUGCUCCCAGGUGUUUUUACUUGUGCUGCAUGUUAUACUUUAAAUAUUGACACCUCAAGGAAAAAUAAAGGAAGUUAGAAGAGUAUGAUCCUGAUGAAGAAUUUGCCAUAUUUUCUUCGACAUUAUAUGUUAUACUUCAAUGCCAUACUGGAAAUAUUAUAUUAAUAUUGUUCAAAAGCAGAUAGUAGUAGAAGAUUCAUG